rnacentral:siRNA from 1 species
UGCCUUUGAAACUCUUUCUUU